rnacentral:snRNA from 1 species
AAAUAAAGGUAGCAGUGCCAGAAUGAGACUCAGGCAAGUAAGGUACCUAGGGUACCUGACCACUGUGCCCUGGAUAUGCUGAUGUGCCUAUGAUUUCCCCAAAUAUGGGAAACUCAACUGCCCAAUUUGUAGUAGUUGGGGACUGCUUUCUUGAUCUCCCCUA